rnacentral:lncRNA from 1 species
GGGAUUCUCCUCCAUCCUGGGGUAUCUGGGUGUAGACCUGGUGCAUAUUAAGCACUCAACUAUAUAUUGUGAUAAGAGGGAUAUUGAAACCAAGGAGGAUAAGUGAAUCCUCUAGGUGAGCAAAGCUUCCUGUGAUUGGUUGCAAGCUUCUGUUUUAAUUGUAAAUUCCCCUUUUACUUUUGUUUGAGACAAGAUCUCACUGUGUAGCCAACACUGUCCAUACUCACACUUGGGGCCAUCCUGCCUUAGCCUCCUAAGCAGUGAGCUUACAGGUAUGCGGUCGUCAUACCUGUACAUUUGUGUGCCUUUGACAGAUACAUUCAAAUUUUCUUAGAUCCAAAGAUUAACAGAAACAAAACGUGGUGUUUUUGGGUCAAGGCUGUAUUUGUCUCCUAGAUUGUAUAAAGACUAUUUCCAGCCUUGUCUUUAGGUAAUAAAUCUGCGGACCAUCAGACCAAUGGACAUUGAAGCUAUAGAAGCCAGUGUCAUGAAGACAAAUCAUCUCGUAACUGUGGAAGGAGGCUGGCCACAAUUUGGAGUAGGAGCUGAGAUUUGUGCGAGAAUUAUGGAAGGCCCUGCAUUCAACUUCCUUGAUGCGCCUGCUGUUCGAGUCACUGGUGCUGAUGUCCCUAUGCCUUACGCAAAGAUUCUAGAAGACAACUCCAUACCUCAGGUCAAAGACAUCAUAUUUGCAAUAAAGAAGACUUUGAAUAUCUAAUCUAGACGUUGAAUGUCAAGUCAGUGAAAUUUAUUUAAAAUACGUGUUGGGACUUCCCCUGACGUGUACUGGGAGACUUACUAGUC